rnacentral:sRNA from 1 species
AUUAAUAAGCAUUCAUUAAUUUGAUUGUAAGUCUUAAGUUCAUUUGUAAAACGCAGACCAGAUCUUUUCACUCAACUGCUGAUUUUGUAAAUUCACUUUUCAUGUUUGAUGUUUGACUUUUUUCCUGGUAUAUCUACUGUGAUAUUUGACACCAUACUUUUAUAGUCUCACAGAACAAGUAAUUGGUAUUUCCCAAGUAUGGUAUAUUUGUAGACUUUUUGAUAUUAUGUACUUAAAUUCUGGAAAUGUUUAUGUUUAAUAUUUUUCUUUUACUUAAUGUAAGAAUUGUUCCUUAUAUAUAUACAUGUACAUGAGAUGGAGCUUUUGAAAAAUAGACUGUUUUAAAUGUGCAAAGUACAUGUAGGUUUUUCAAAAGACUACUGGGGCAUAUUCUAACAUGUUAUAUGUAUUUAUAGUAAACUAAGUUUACUAAGUUUAAUUAGAACAUUUAUAUUACUAUUGGACCUAAUUAUACACAAGUUUUUCAUUAAAAGUUUUAGACCUAUAUAAUUUUGCUAGAAAAAGUUUUGGAUUUUUUAUGAAACCAUAAAAUCAUGUGGACUUUGUUAGAACUUGCAUGUUUAUAUUGACUUCACAUUGAUACUUUUUAGAGAUGGACUGUUAGAACUAAUACUGGGUAUUUUAUGAUUUACAGUGAUCUUUUUGUCCUAUUGAUGAUUUUUAUCAAAUUUCUGUGCGUAAAACAGAAGUCUAUAUGUAUCUGAGGUUUUUUUUUUUUUGUUUUUUUUUUCAUUCCAUGAUUAUCUUGGAUCUCAUCCUCUCUGAUUUUAUUUCUGUUGAUUUUAUUCACUGUUACUGGAGUUUAUAUUGGACAAUCCUUUUAUUUGAACUCUUUUAAAUAAAUUUUAUUCUUUUAUAAG